rnacentral:lncRNA from 1 species
UUUGUGUUCAUUGGAAACCUCACAGUAGUAGCUUUUGUAGCUGGUGGUAGUAGCUUUUGUGGCUGGUGGUAGUAGUUUUUGUGUUCGUCGAAAACCUCACAGUAGUAGCUUUUGUAGACGGUGGUAGUAGCAUUUGUGGCUGGUGAUAGUAGCUUUUGUGUUCGUCGGAAACGUCGAAAACCUCACAGUAGUAGUUUCUGUAGGCGGUGGUAGUAGCUUUUGUAGCUUGUGGUAGUAACUUUUGUGGCUGGUGGUAGUAAUUUUUGUGUUCAUCGGAAACCUCACAGUAGUAGCUUUUGUAGGCGGUGGUAGUAGCUUUUGUGUUCGUCGGAAAUCUCAUAGUAGUAGCUUUUGUAGGCGGUGGUAGUAGUUUUUGUCGCUUGUGGUAGUAGCUUUUGUGUUCAUCGGAAACCUUACAGUAGUAGCUUUUGUAGGCGGUGGUAGUAGCUUUUGUAGCUAGUGGUAGUAGCUUUUAUAGCUGGUAUUAGUAAUUUUUGUCAUCAUCGGAGGUCGGUCGGAAAUCUCGCCGGAGGUCGGCCGGAAACCUUGCCGGAGGUCCGUUGAAACCUCGCCGGAGGUCCGCUGGAAAUCUCGCCUGAGGUCCGCCGGUGACUGUUCCGAAAUGAGAGUGAUUGUUGACUUUUUAUACUAGUGGCAUUCUUGUAAAUAUAAAAGAGAAAAUCUAAUUUUUAUUGUUGGAUGGCAGUCUGUAAUUAUGUUGAACUUCAAUACUUAAUACAAAACCUUAUUUAGACUUGGGUGGACUUAUGUGGAUAAAAAUGUUGGAGUGGAUCUGUGGGAAAAAAUGUCUCAAAGUGGACUUAUAUGUAAUUGGCCCUAUGCAAAUCCCGAUACACAGAUAGUGACCGGGUGAACCGGACUAAACAUAAACAAACCUGACUAUAUGAAACCAGGACUUUUCUGGCCAAAUCUUUUCAACAUUGAAGUUUAGGCCUAAACAAUUUCAGUCGUUAAAAACCCUAUGGUAAAGCUUCCACAAUGGCUACCAUACUCAGCUAUGAAGUACAUGAAUCAGAAAAUCUCAAACUCCUUCCACUCAUUUAAUUCACUAACACAUGUAUUUAUUUAUUUAUUUAUUUUUGAACAGGACUUCACUAACACAUCUAACCAAUAAAUCUUUCUUCAAAUCAAACACCAAAACCCGUUUAUGCAAAGACAAAAAAUUCACCCAAGCCACAGGCAU